UUGUAUUUUGGAUUAGUUUGGGCCUCGAAUCUGAGUGUCCUGAUCUGAACACGUCACCUGCCAGUCAGAUCACUGAUUGUUCUGAACCUGAUCAAUUCUUCCAUGUUUGACUCAGCGAUGGGAACUUGAGUUGCCUUUGUAUGUCAUUUUUAGCCUUUUGUCUCGAUCUGGCUUCGCUGAUUGAUCUCGUUACUGAUUCAGCUCCCUGCCUCACCAUUGCAGGAAACUAUCGUCUGCUUCAGAUUGGGUUGCUGAAGUAAAUGAAAAAAGGUGACUACCGCUUUGAGCUGAGCUGUUGAGGGAGGCACAAGUUGAAUGGGCUUGGUAGUGCAGGGAAGGGAAUCGGAUGGAGCAUUUCAGUGUGGCGGGGUAUCCAGGAGGAUGGAUACAUCGCAGCAUGGCUGGCAAGUCCAUUGCAAAAACUGGUGUGUCUGAAACACAUAUAAUGCGCCUUUUGUAUAUGUUUUAGUGAAAGGCUAUAUUUUAUUUUCACCAACAAUCUGGUUUCUGUUUUACGGUGUGAUUGGGUCGAGCCGAUAACCGCGGGCCGAACAUAGCGUGCGUUUGCUUGAUUAAAUACUACUCCCUCUGUUCCUAAAUAUAAGUCUUUGUAGGGAUUCCACUAUAAACCACAUACGGAU
rnacentral:lncRNA from 1 species